rnacentral:tmRNA from 1 species
GGGGGUGCCCUGGUUUCGACGGGGGUGGGGAUGUCUGAGGAAGCGAGUGGAGGGAACUCUGGACCCGCCUUAAAAAACUAGGGAUUAAAGAUAAACGCAGAAGACAAUUUUGCAUUAGCAGCUUAAUAUAGCUGUUCGUUCUACCCGGGAGGCCUACGGCCUGGGAUAGGGCGCCGAUUAGUAGGGAACCGCACUCUGGAAAGCUUUGACCUGAGGACGGAAUAAAUGAAGCUACUAAAGCAGGAAGCCUGUCCAUGGGCGUCCUGUAGAGGGAAUGUUAAACCAUAGGACUGCACUCGGAGAUGCCUCAGGCAUAUCACCUUCGGACACGGGUUCGAUUCCCGUCACCUCCACCA